AAUCCGAUUCCUCCCUGAAACGGAUUAUCCCAGAGCCUCACGUUCCUUCCCGAGGAUCGCAGGCUAGCUCGGGGAACGAGAUUGGGUAGGGUACAGUCCGUAUGUAAACAAAGCCUUUGUUCACAUUACGGUAUUCAAAAUAUUGAACUUUAUUCGACAAUUAUUUAUAUUUUCAUGCUUCUACAGUAUAAUAAAUGAUCAAGAUACAACAAUCAGGCUUUGCAAGAACAUAAAAUGAAAUAAAAACCUAAUUAAAGUGUUUAUAUCACGGCAGGAGACUCCUAUGUGCGCAUGCGCAGACCGGACAGUACCCAUCUUUACUGUUAGGUUGAUAUCAACACGUCACAAGUAUCAGGGUUAGAAUUAUGACUAGAAUGUGAUUAAUGUUAACCGUAGGAUUAGGCUAAGAGUUAGAACCCCAAGGAGUUAGACGUAGGAGUUAGACGUAGGGUUAGGAUAAGGGGGUAGGUUCGGUUAAUUUUUA